CAGUAGCCACGGUAAUACAGAGGGUGCGAGCGUUAAUCGGAUUUACUGGGCGUAAAGCGUGCGUAGGCGGCUUUUUAAGUCGGAUGUAAAAUCCCUGAGCUUAACUUAGGAAUUGCAUUCGAUACUGGGAAGCUAGAGUAUGGGAGAGGAUGGUAGAAUUCCAGGUGUAGCGGUGAAAUGCGUAGAGAUCUGGAGGAAUACCGAUGGCGAAGGCAGCCAUCUGGCCUAAUACUGACGCUGAGGUACGAAAGCAUGUGGAGCAAACAGGAUUAGAUACCCCCGUAGUCCCUGUCUCUUAUAU
rnacentral:rRNA from 1 species